AUGAACGCUAGCGACAGGCUUAACACAUGCAAGUCGAGGGGUAACAGGGUAGCAAUACCGCUGACGACCGGCGCACGGGUGAGUAACGCGUAUGCAACCUGCCUAUAACUGGGGAAUAGCUCCCUGAAAGGGGAAUUAACACCGCAUAACACUAUUGAUUCGCAUGGAUUAGUAGUUAAAUGUAGCGAUACAGGUUAUAGAUGGGCAUGCGUGACAUUAGCUAGUUGGUGAGGUAACGGCUCACCAAGGCUACGAUGUCUAGGGGUUCUGAGAGGAAGGUCCCCCCACACUGGUACUGAGACACGGACCAGACUCCUACGGGAGGCAGCAGUGAGGAAUAUUGGUCAAUGGGCGCAAGCCUGAACCAGCCAUGUCGCGUGCAGGAAGAACCUGCCCUAUGGGUUGUAAACUGCUUUUAUAGUAGAAGAAACACAUCUACGUGUAGAUGUCUGCCAGUAUACUAUGAAUAAGCAUCGGCUAACUCCGUGCCAGCCGCCGC
rnacentral:rRNA from 1 species